rnacentral:rRNA from 1 species
CCUACGGGUGGCAGCAGUGAGGAAUAUUGGUCAAUGGGGGGAACCCUGAUCCAGCGACGCCGCGUGAGUGAAGAAGUAUUUCGGUAUGUAAAGCUCUGUCAGCAGGGAAGAAAGAAAUGACGGUACCUGACCAAGAAGCCCCGGCUAACUACGUGCCAGCAGCCGCGGUAAUACGUAGGGGGCAAGCGUUAUCCGGAAUUACUGGGUGUAAAGGGAGCGCAGGCGGAAGAUCAAGUCAGCGGUAAAAUUGAGAGGCUCAACCUCUUCGAGCCGUUGAAACUGGUUUUCUUGAGUGAGCGAGAAGUAUGCGGAAUGCGUGGUGUAGCGGUGAAAUGCAUAGAUAUCACGCAGAACUCCGAUUGCGAAGGCAGCAUACCGGCGCUCAACGGACGCUCAUGCACGAAAGUGUGGGUAUCGAACAGGAUUAGAUACCCUAGUAGUC